GUACACUCCUGCGGGAGGCAGCAGUGGGGAAUAUUGGACAAUGGGCGCAAGCCUGAUCCAGCCAUGCCGCGUGAGUGAUGAAGGCCCUAGGGUUGUAAAGCUCUUUCACCGGUGAAGAUAAUGACGGUAACCGGAGAAGAAGCCCCGGCUAACUUCGUGCCAGCAGCCGCGGUAAUACGAAGGGGGCUAGCGUUGUUCGGAUUUACUGGGCGUAAAGCGCACGUAGGCGGACUAUUAAGUCAGGGGUGAAAUCCCGGGGCUCAACCCCGGAACUGCCUUUGAUACUGGUAGUCUUGAGUUCGAGAGAGGUGAGUGGAAUUCCGAGUGUAGAGGUGAAAUUCGUAGAUAUUCGGAGGAACACCAGUGGCGAAGGCGGCUCACUGGCUCGAUACUGACGCUGAGGUGCGAAAGCGUGGGGAGCAAACAGGAUUAGAAACCCCUGUAGUCCCAUGAU
rnacentral:rRNA from 1 species